GAUGAACGCUGGCGGCGUGCUUAACACAUGCAAGUCGAACGGUGAAGGCGGAGCUUGCUCUGCUGGAUCAGUGGCGAACGGGUGAGUAACACGUGAGCAAUCUGCCCCUGACUCUGGGAUAAGCGCUGGAAACGGCGUCUAAUACUGGAUACGAGCUGCGAAGGCAUCUUCAGCAGCUGGAAAGAAUUUCGGUCAGGGAUGAGCUCGCGGCCUAUCAGCUUGUUGGUGAGGUAAUGGCUCACCAAGGCGUCGACGGGUAGCCGGCCUGAGAGGGUGACCGGCCACACUGGGACUGAGACACGGCCCAGACUCCUACGGGAGGCAGCAGUGGGGAAUAUUGCACAAUGGGCGAAAGCCUGAUGCAGCAACGCCGCGUGAGGACGACGGCCUUCGGGUUGUAAACCUCUUUUAGCAGGGAAGAAGCGAAAGUGACGGUACCUGCAGAAAAAGCGCCGGCUAACUACGUG
rnacentral:rRNA from 1 species